rnacentral:rRNA from 1 species
GACGAACGCUGGCGGCGUGCCUAACACAUGCAAGUUGAGCGACGAACCAGGGCUUGCCCUGGGGCAAAGCAGCGAACGGGUGAGUAACACGUGGGUAACCUACCCCGAUAACCGGGACAACCCGAGGAAACUCGGGCUAAUACCGGAUGUGCUCACUGGACUUCGGUUCAGUGCGUAAAGGAAGCUUCGGCCUCCGUAUCAGGAGGGGCCCGCGGCCCAUUAGUUUGUUGGUGAGGUAACGGCUCACCAAGACCGCGAUGGGUAGCUGGUCUGAGAGGACGAUCAGCCACACUGGGACUGAGACACGGCCCAGACUCCUACGGGAGGCAGCAGUGGGGAAUCUUGCGCAAUGCGCGAAAGCGUGACGCAGCAACGCCGCGUGGGGGAAGAAGGCCUUCGGGUUGUAAACCCCUUUCAGGAGGGACGAAGGUUCGGCGGUGAAUAGCCGUCCGGACUGACGGUACCUCCACAAGAAGCCCCGGCUAACUACGUG